rnacentral:lncRNA from 1 species
UCAUAUUUAUGAAUAUUUAAAUAGUAAAAAUUUUUGAUAAUAAAAUUUUCUUUUACAUUAAAAAAAUAAAAAUAAAACACUAAAAAAAAUUCAAUUUUUAAAAAACGCAAUUUCUUGAGACGGUAAAUAAAUAUUUACACUAUCUAGUCGGACGAAAAUUUGUGUGUCAAAAUUUAUGAGGAAGACACACAUAUAAUAAAGAAAAUCCAUUUCAUUAUAGCAAAUUGCUAAUAAGAGGAUUUAUAUUGUGACAUGUUGCCGUUUCACAUGAAAUGAGCUUCUUUUUUUUUUGUCGAUACAUAGGGGAGCAAGAGCUCAAAGCAAAACGAAAGCAAAGCUGCAAAACGAAAACAAAGCUAUACAGCUAUGCUGACUCGUUGAGUCGCGUUGCUACAAAUUUCAUAGUCUAUCCAAAUCGAUAAACCAGGAGGAGGAGACUGCAAAUUAGUUUAAUGAUACCUUCAAAUUGCAGGCCAAGAAAGUAGGAGGGUCAUCAGAAAAACAUGAAAUACAAAAAAAGACACGUGUAAUAAUUUAUUACAGAGAAGAACACCAAUGUUCAAUAAAUUCUUGUACUAGUAGAAAUCAAAUAACUACUACAAAAGGGAGAGGUAUGAAUUGGUAGGGAAGUGAGGAGCCAUAAUUGUGGAAGCUGAUGAUGAUUUUGAUUUUCUUUUGGGUAGUUUGACAGGUUUAGAUACUUUCAUGGUGGAGAUAGUUACAUCUUCAGAAACUCGAGAGGAUGGAGAAGAAGAAUGGAAGCAACUAAACAAAGCUGAGAAGAUAUAUAGAUGUCAUUUUUUUUUUUUUUUUUUGGUGUGUGUUUUUGGAUUGGAGCUUGGAAGGAAUAACAUAUUAAUUUAUAGUGAAAGAUGAGAAAGGAAAUUAAAACUUGUUUGUUUAUGGAUGCUAGUAAAAAAAAUACUGGACUUCCAACAUUUGUGUCCGGUUAAGUGAAGUUCGAUAUUUUAGGUUAAUUCAAUUCAAAGCCUAAAAAGUUGGGUUAAAAGAUAAAUAAACUAAUUAUAAAUAUCUCUAAUAGUUUUACUAAUUACUCGACUUGACUGUUGACGGGUCUCUUUAUAUGUGUUAUCUGAAAAGAUGAGGAUUCAAUAAUUAUUCCUUCGCAAAAACCAGAAGUCAAACUUUUGAUAGAUAGACCGGUUGUUGCGAAAAUAAGAAAUUUUUAUGUUCUGUUGUUAGGAAAAGGUCAUACUUUUCAAUUACUAUGAAGUAGAAAUGUGUCUACGUCAGGUGACCACUUUGCAAUUACUAUGAAGUAGAAAUAUUGUUUUUGGCUACAAAAUGUGACUUUCAGUAGUUUGGUCCUAGUUUAUUGGUGGUGAAGUUCGCUUCUUAUCCAAAGGGAACAUUUAUAUAUAUAAUUUUUAAUAAAUAUAUAUAAUAUAAAACAUCUAAAAUAGUCAAAUAUAUUUUUUUGGAAGUUGCUUUGUUGCUUGUUUGUUUUUUUACAUUUUAAUAUUUGAACAGAAAAAAAUAACUAAAAUAAUUAAAUUUGUUUUCUUAGUUCUUACACGCCAUAUGCAUUUAAAAAUUAAAAUCAUGAUGUUUACCUUCCAACCUCAUUCAAUAUGUGCGUGCUGUGCUUUGAUCAAGAUCUAAUUUUUAUAAUUUUUUUUUAUAUUUAGACGAGGUAUCCAGGUCCGUAUCCGUUUUAAUAGUUCACAAACCUGAUUAAUCUCCCUCGUCCUCGGAAGCAAAAAAAAAAAAACUUGCAUUGCAGAGAAUCGAAUACAUGAUCUAAUUUUUAUAAUAUUGUUUUCAAACGUUAAUUAAAAAAAUGCUUGUUAAGCAUUUGUAUUAGGGAUAAAUGAUAAUUGAUUCAUUUUAAUGUUAAAUUAAAAGGAUGAGGAGUAUCACAAAUUGAAAAACACAAUUAAAAUAAAAUUAUAUGUAGAUUAUCUUUAUUCUCCGAUAACUGUAAUCAAUCAUCAAUCAUACUAUUGAAAAUUGAUAUAUGUUCGAAUCACAUACUUAAAAAAAAUUUAAAAAAAAAACUGAAAAAAAGGUAUAAUACAAAUCAUGGUGUUAGAGUCAAUCUCUAAAACUGAAAUUUGUUGAAUUCAAAACAAGAAUCAUAAUCAAUAACAAAUUUCUAGUAUAUAAAAAAAAUUAAAGAAGAAACCAUUAAUGAAUAUAAAAUAACUCAAAAUUUUCUAAUUCAUAAAAAUCGCAAGAGAUUAAUACACUCACAUGAAUGAAAUUAUUCCUAACUCUUCAAAAUUGCAUGAUUAAUUAAGAUUAGUCAUGCUCUCUCUCAAAAAAAAAAAAAUAAUAAUAAUGCCAAAGAACAAAAUUAAAUACCCGCUACAUUGAGAAAAAAAAAAAAAAAAACUACAGCUUCGGAGCACAAAAAUUAAAAGGAAAAUGAGGAACAAGAAUUGGAGAUUUUGAUUUGCUCAUCAAUCUCUCAGACUUGUUAGACCUUUUUGCAUCUGAAAACUGCUUUUCGUCGAAGACCUUUGAAUGAGCAAAAAUGGCGGAGCAGAAAAUUGCUGAAAAGCAUCCCAUUGUUUUCUGUUUCUAUUAAUUUCUCUUGAUUACCUACAAGAGACCUAUUUAUAGUGGGACUUUAGGUUAAUUAGGUUAAUGGUGUUUUAGGUAAAGAGUUGCCUAUUUGCAGGGAGACUUUUUUUUGUUACAAAGUAAUUAGCAUCAUUUCAAAUUUAAAUAUCUCAGACUCUAGAUAUCAGCAUCCUCUCUAAAACGGUAAAAAUCUCUAAUUUAUAAAUUCUUUUUAUAGCUAAAUAAAUUUAUUUUAUUAUAAAUUACCAAAAAAUAUAAUUUUAUUAAUUGAUUAGAAACAGCGUCCGUAUUUUGGCUUAUCAGCCGUAUUGUCCUUUUAUUUAUGAUAUAUAAAAUUAAUCUCGUUUUGAGGUUUAUAGUUACCUACUCUGAACGAUGGCAAGAUAUUUAUUUGUGUGAUAAUUGAGAAACAAGAAAUUUUACCUACUCUGAAUGAUGGCAAGAUAGUAUUUUUUUUUGUUCUAUGGACACAAUCUAAUUAGCUAGAAAGAUACUUUCUCCUAUCAUUUUCCGACUCUCCAGUCAAGCAAGAAAUUUAUACUGUCUUAGUUAGUAGUUCAUUGAAAAAGGCCAAAAGAAAGAAGGUCAAUAGCCACCACUUUCAAAUCAAUUCUUCUUUUUUCUUUUUUUUUUCUUUUUUUUCCUUUGCUGUAAAUGAGGGAGAUAAUUGAGGAGAAAAAAAAAUUGAAAAACAAAAUAAUUUUAUUGCUGAAAAAUCAAAUUAAUUAAUUACAUAUAAAACAUAAAUAUCUAUAUAAUCAAAUAAAAAAAAAUACAAAAUACAUCUUCACGUUCUUUAUAAUGGAUCAGGAUAUAUGUUCCCUCUUCUCCAAUAUUCCUCAAAAUCGCCAUGAACAAAUUAUAACCUUGACAUAUAUGAGUUGAUGGGGAAGUAAGAAACUACAAUAGGAGCACUUGAAGAUGACUUUGAUUUGCUUUUGGGUUUCUGUACAUUAGAUCCUUUGAUGUUGGAUACUUCUGCAUCAUCUGAAACCCUAGAAGAUGAAGACGAUGAAGGAACAAAGCAACUGAACAUGGCUGAGAAAUUAACCAUUUUUCCUUCUGAUUUCUUCUUGUUGUGGAGUUGUAUUAGUAUAUGUUGUGAUAUUGAUGAGGAUCAAAGUGAAAAAACCAGGCUAUUUAUAGAUGAAGAAGAGAAGUCGAAGUUGGUAUAUAGUCUUCAUGUGCAAGGAAAGGAAUUCCAAGUUUCCAGGAGAAUUCUCCUACCUUAAUUUGACCAAAACAAAUGAACCACGUGACUAUAAUAUAAGCAGGAAGUUUCCACUUGACUAGUUGAGAAAAGUCAACACUCUCAGAACGCUUUUAAGGUUAAUCAAAACUCUAGCCAGCCGCCCCACACACAGGAAAAAGUUAUAUACUGGAGAUCUGUUCAGCAACGGCUACUCAAGUGGCUUUUAGCGUUUUUACUACUUUUCAUAGUGUUUGAUAAUACAACGUUAAAUUAGCUUUUAGAGAUUACGGUGACAGCUUUUUAUGAAAAUGUUAACUCAUCUAAUAUUUAGUUUUUAGCUUUUCAUAAAAAACUAUUAAAACAACUACCAACUAAUCACUGUAAAAUAGCUAAUAGCUAUCAAAACAACUAAUUUUUCCAUUUACACAAUAAAGUCAAUUAAAAAUAAUUUCUUGAUGUAAGAAAGUAGUUCUGACUAUUAAUUAAAAAAAAAUAGGUAAAACUAACUUAGUGUAUGGAUAGACUUAUACAUCUGAGUGUGGUAAGUCUUAUAUAUAUUUAUUUUAUACGUUAUAAUUUUUUAUUGUUUAUAUAUUUUUUAGAAUGCAAAAAUCUACGAGGAAGACACACAUAUGAUAAAGAAAAUCCAUUUCAUUAUAACAAAAUUGCUAAUAAGAGGAUUUAUAUUGUGACAUGUUGCUGUUUCACAUGAAAUGAGCUUCUUUUUCUUUGUCGAUACCUUGGGGAGCAAGAGCUCAAAGCAAAACGAAAACAAAGCUAUACAGCUAUGCUGACUCGCUGAGUCGCGUUGCUACAAAUUUCAUAGUCUAUCCAAAUCGAUAAACCGGGAGGAGGAGACUGCAAAUUCGUUUAAUGAUACCUUCAAAUUGCAGGCCAAGAAAGUAGGAGGAUCAUCAGAAAAACAUGAAAUACAAAAAAAGACGCGUGUAAUAAUUUAUUACAGAGAAGAACACCAAUGUUCGCUAAAUUCUUGUGCUAGUAGAAAUCAAAUAACUACUACAAAAGGGAGAGGUAUGAAUUGGUAGGGAAGUGAGGAACCAUAAUUGUGGAAGCUGAUGAUGAUUUUGAUUUUCUUUUGGGUAGUUUGACAGGGUUAGGUACUUUCAU